rnacentral:miRNA from 15 species
CAAGCUUGUGUCUACAGGUAUG